ACAUCAACUGGGGGGAAUCUUGGAGGAUGACUUUGCCCCAGAGGAGAAACUUAGAGAGCCUUACCAUCAGCUGCCCUUGUAAAGCAGGGGGUGUGUUGUGGGAGGGCGGUGGGAGGCUGGAGCAACAAGGCCGGGAGAUGGGGAGCGGAGGCUGGAAGAACCUAUGUGCACAGCCUUUCCGUACCAUGCCUCGGUGCGCCUGCUAGUAAAGCACAUCUAGCUAGAGGAACAGCGGCUCCUCACGCCCUGCCCCAGGAUGGUCCAGAAAGCCCAGACGUCCUGUCGCCUUCUCACCUCCUCCGCUGAGAGCUGCAGACCAGUUCAUGUUAACGGACGGGAGGGGAAUUGUGCACAUGUUUAUGGUUUCAUCUGUACAGAAAAGGAGCUCCUGUAGCUUAGGCUGUGAAUUUUCAGUAGGAAAUGCUUCAAAAUACACAAAGCAAGAGCUAUUUUCAAGACACACCUUCUACAAUGAUAUUCAGGAUUAAGCAGCUGUAACGUUGCCAUUUGUCGCUGCAGCUCCUGGUUUCAGCACGUCUCUCUGGUUCCCAGCCAGUCCUGG